CAACCGUUGCAACACUCUGGCCCUUACUGUUCCAUCUAUUGGAUCAUAUCAUCACGUGGUAUAGGCUUAUUUUACGCAACGAAAAUAAAUUAUUCCGGACCCAUUACUCACCGCGGUAUCCUUGGAGCUUGCUCCGUGGGUACAGUGGUCCAUAUUUCGGGCCAACAU
rnacentral:snoRNA from 1 species